AAAAGAUGUGCAUGAUUGUGUUGUGAAAAGUGGACUUGAAUUAAAGUAGUAUAAAUAAAUUUUAGUACCUUUUGCUUAAGGGUUUUUCAAGAGAAGUUUAAGAAUUUAAUCUUCCCGAAUAAAAGAGAGUUAUUCUUUUGAGUUAAGAAAUCGGGAUAGAGAUUUAAUUAAACUAAAUACAUGUAAUAGCGGCUAGAUACUAUUCGCGCUUUUAGAUAUCUGGUUGGCUUAAAAAGAUAUGUAAGCAUAACCUUAACUAAUUAAG
rnacentral:lncRNA from 1 species